rnacentral:rRNA from 1 species
GACGAACGCUGGCGGCGUGCCUAAUACAUGCAAGUCGAACGAACUCUGGUAUUGAUUGGUGCUUGCAUCAUGAUUUACAUUUGAGUGAGUGGCGAACUGGUGAGUAACACGUGGGAAACCUGCCCAGAAGCGGGGGAUAACACCUGGAAACAGAUGCUAAUACCGCAUAACAACUUGGACCGCAUGGUCCGAGUUUGAAAGAUGGCUUCGGCUAUCACUUUUGGAUGGUCCCGCGGCGUAUUAGCUAGAUGGUGGGGUAACGGCUCACCAUGGCAAUGAUACGUAGCCGACCUGAGAGGGUAAUCGGCCACAUUGAGACUGAGACACGGCCCAAACUCCUACGGGAGGCAGCAGUAGGGAAUCUUCCACAAUGGACGAAAGUCUGAUGGAGCAACGCCGCGUGAGUGAAGAAGGGUUUCGGCUCGUAAAACUCUGUUGUUAAAGAAGAACAUAUCUGAGAGUAACUGUUCAGGUAUUGACGGUAUUUAACCAGAAAGCCACGGCUAACUACGUGCCAGCAGCCGCGGUAAUACGUAGGUGGCAAGCGUUGUCCGGUUUUAUUGGGCGUAAAGCGAGCGCAGGCGGUUUUUUAAGUCUGAUGUGAAAGCCUUCGGCUCAACCGAAGAAGUGCAUCGGAAACUGGGAAACUUGAGUGCAGAAGAGGACAGUGGAACUCCAUGUGUAGCGGUGAAAUGCGUAGAUAUAUGGAAGAACACCAGUGGCGAAGGCGGCUGUCUGGUCUGUAACUGACGCUGAGGCUCGAAAGUAUGGGUAGCAAACAGGAUUAGAUACCCUGGUAGUCCAUACCGUAAACGAUGAAUGCUAAGUGUUGGAGGGUUUCCGCCCUUCAGUGCUGCAGCUAACGCAUUAAGCAUUCCGCCUGGGGAGUACGGCCGCAAGGCUGAAACUCAAAGGAAUUGACGGGGGCCCGCACAAGCGGUGGAGCAUGUGGUUUAAUUCGAAGCUACGCGAAGAACCUUACCAGGUCUUGACAUACUAUGCAAAUCUAAGAGAUUAGACGUUCCCUUCGGGGACAUGGAUACAGGUGGUGCAUGGUUGUCGUCAGCUCGUGUCGUGAGAUGUUGGGUUAAGUCCCGCAACGAGCGCAACCCUUAUUAUCAGUUGCCAGCAUUAAGUUGGGCACUCUGGUGAGACUGCCGGUGACAAACCGGAGGAAGGUGGGGAUGACGUCAAAUCAUCAUGCCCCUUAUGACCUGGGCUACACACGUGCUACAAUGGAUGGUACAACGAGUUGCGAACUCGCGAGAGUAAGCUAAUCUCUUAAAGCCAUUCUCAGUUCGGAUUGUAGGCUGCAACUCGCCUACAUGAAGUCGGAAUCGCUAGUAAUCGCGGAUCAGCAUGCCGCGGUGAAUACGUUCCCGGGCCUUGUACACACCGCCCGUCACACCAUGAGAGUUUGUAACACCCAAAGUCGGUGGGGUAACCUUUUAGGAACCAGCCGCCUAAGGUGGGACAGAUGAUUAGGGUG